rnacentral:tRNA from 1 species
GGGCCGGUAGCUCAGUCUGGUCAGAGCAUCGGACUUUUAAUCCGAGUGUCCUGGGUUCGAAUCCCAGCCGGCUCACCA